CACCACAUGACAAGCAUGAGGGUAAGGAUGCUCAGACAGGCAGUCGUUGCUGUCUCAUUGGACACGUCCCACUUGUAGAUCAACACAACAGCAAAGUUCAGCAGAGUGGCGAUGGUGGUCCAUGUGGCAUACAGUGCCAGCCCAUUCUGCACCUGCCAUGAGUACAGCAAGAGGACAAGAGUGAGGAUAAGGGAGCCCAGAUGCUUUCAAUUCCCUUUGUUCUGCUUGCAUCUUAUGAAUAGAAACACAAGGGUGGACAGAACAGUGCACACCCCCAGCUUGUGCCAAGUGACUUGGAGACAUUUCCAGCAGGAACUUUUACACGUGGAUGCCCAGCUUUGCAGCUCCACUGACAACCCUCUGAGCUCCUUGAACAUGCUUUUUCAGCUUCCUAAAUGCCACCUACUAGGAUCCGGAUGAGCCAGAGGUCAGCUUGGUGACCCUUCAUGAACCACGUGGAAUGGAUACUCAAGGCUCUGUGCGAGAUGAAGAGAGCAGCACCUGUGGUAAAGUGGUGCUAUUAUAAGCCCUUCAUGCCAGCACGAUGAUGAAAACAAUCCAAGGCAAUGAGUUUAACUGUAUUUAGGAUGGCUGUCAUGGCUCUUGUCCUAUCUGUUGGAUGAAACACUGAGGAACAACAAUUGUGAAGACAUAAAAUGUCAACAGCCCAUCUACCUCAUGGAAAAAAAUGAAACAACUUGCAAAAAACCCAAAAUAUUAAGGGUAGCUUUUGCGAAGGCUUGCCCAAGUGUUUCACUAGUGGGGCAGUCCCAACGUUAGGGUUAGAAAGCUGCUGUAACAAGCAUGGCUUACUCUCUGUCCCAUAGAAACAGCCAUCCAACAUUGAGGCCAUUAUUCAGAAUCCAUGCCACAUAAAAAGGUAUUGGCAGCAAGUCCGGCUUCAUGAAGACGUAUCCAAGUUCAUUUCUGUAAGGAAAAAGAAGACACCCCAUGAGAACCCUCUACAAGCACUUCUCUUCCCACAGCCACACAACAAAGGACCACGGGCACUCAGGAAGCCCCUUGCACUGAUGGCAGCACACUAGAGACAUAUCUGUGCCCACUGCUGCCUGCAGACACUGCAGGGCCUACAAGGCUCCCCAGCACAGUCAGGAGCAGGGAAACAUGGGAUAGGGAGGAAGUAAACACACCUGGGUUGCAAUCAGAGCAUAUUUUAUGGUGGUAGAAUUGAGGCCAUCAAGAACUUGUCCUUCAGAAGCCUGCUUUGUAAUUCUCCUGGCCCAACUCUCCUUACAGUGUAUUUUGUAGCACUUUAUCUACCUAAAGUGAACAGUGUCACCUGUAACCUGACAGCAUUCAGCGCAGCUCCCAGCCAGGCAACAGGCCUCUUAUGACAAGUGUCUGGAGAGCAAGGAACAUAAACACUUUGGGAGGAAUGCUGCUUCCACCAAGAGGAGGGCAGUGGGCAGCCUAAACAGACAGCUUCCAUUUGUGGCAGUCCAGUGCUUGACUUUGCUAUUUGGAAGGAGUAUUAAUAGCAAUUUUGCAAUCUAGUUAUUAGUUACCUGAAUUUUUUUUUUUUUGAAAGGCAACUGAAAUACAUACAUAAAAUGCCAUCACAUGGAUAGAUUUCACCUCUGACAUGAACCAUUAGUAGAACUGGAACAUUUAGUUCCACCACCGUAGGUAAUCACUGUAACAAAAUAGUUCAUAUAGACCUCCAACCCGCUUCUAUGCUUUGGAUGCUGAACCAGAAAGAAGCUCCAGAGAUUCAGCGUGUCAAGCCAAGAGGAAUGGUAGUGGUUUUGCACUGACCAGAAAGUCCAGGAAGGGGGUAACAGCCCAUGCUACAGAAGGAAAGUGCCACCCCCCAGCACGUGUGUCAUGGGCAGGGAGUACCUCCGGCAGAUCCCUGACAGAGCAUACAGGAGCCACGCCAGCUGCCAGGCAUAGAUGACAUUCCAGAUGAGGAAAGUCCAGCCGGCCGGUGUGAAGUCAGUGCUGUACUUCUCUGAGAUGUUGCCAGGGGUUGUCCGGAACAGACCUGGUGGUGAAUGUUAUUGCAGCCUAAUGUAUUAUUACAUACUAAGGAUGGGGAAAAGACUGCUGAUUUUCUCAACCUGCAAUCUUCCUCAAGGCUUAGUCCACGCCUCAAUAGAUGUGAGAGAUGAGAGGAUGCCCUUGUUGAGAACGAACCACAUGCUGCAAUUGGCUUCCUUUUAAAAACCCAUUACAGGAUCACUAUCCCUUAUGGGGAACCCCGAGCACCUUUCCCUUGCACAGAACCAGAAAAACCAGUUGUGUGCAAAAGCCAGAGAGAAGCACGACUCAUUUUUGACAGACUAAGCUGGACAGCAUGCAAACCAAGCACCAUCCUCUAAAAACCCACAGCAACAGGGCCUGGAAAGCUUCCACCAGGGAUACAAGUGCAACAUAUGUACAAAACAGACUUUCACCAGCAGAUACAUCCAGACCAUUUGCUUUGAUUUCAAGGGACUGGAAGAGGCUCUGAAGGUUUGAAGAAGUGAAACUGAUCUAAGGCAUCAGAAAGUAAUGCAAUGCACGAG
ensembl:lncRNA